rnacentral:rRNA from 1 species
GAUGAACGCUAGCUACAGGCUUAACACAUGCAAGUCGAGGGGAAACGAUAGAGAAAGCUUGCUUUUUCUAGGCGUCGACCGGCGCACGGGUGAGUAACGCGUAUCCAACCUGCCCAUCACUUGGGGAUAACCUUGCGAAAGUAAGACUAAUACCCAAUGACGUCUCUAGGAGACAUCUGAAAGAGAUUAAAGAUUUAUCGGUGAUGGAUGGGGAUGCGUCUGAUUAGCUUGUUGGCGGGGUAACGGCCCACCAAGGCGACGAUCAGUAGGGGUUCUGAGAGGAAGGUCCCCCACAUUGGAACUGAGACACGGUCCAAACUCCUACGGGAGGCAGCAGUGAGGAAUAUUGGUCAAUGGGCGAGAGCCUGAACCAGCCAAGUAGCGUGCAGGAUGACGGCUCUAUGGGUUGUAAACUGCUUUUAUAAGGGAAUAAAGUGAGUCUCGUGAGACUUUUUGCAUGUACCUUAUGAAUAAGGACCGGCUAAUUCCGUGCCAGCCGCCGCAGUAA